ACAAGGCAGGCUUUAACUUGUGGCUGUGAUGCCCCCAAGGCUUCCUUGGGAGAGGAUGAGAACCAGUCCAGCUCACAGAAGAAGGAAGCUCUUCAUUGAUCUGUCUGGCCAAGGGGAGGAAGGAGAACCACUUGGAAAAUGAGUGCAAGGACACCAGAGCGCAAAGCUCGGUGGGUGUCUCCCGGGAGCGAUCUGAGGAAGCGACAGCUUUAGUUACACCCGGCAUUCACCCCGCCAGCCCCCGAAGUGCGGGCAGCGCCAUCGCCAUCCCCCGGCCCCUCACGCCCGCUCCCCGCUCCUCACCUGGGCUCCGGCUCGGCGCUGUCACGGUGCCGGCUGCGCUCGGGGAGCCGCGCGCCCGCCCCAGUGCGCGUGCGCGGGGGCGGGCCGGGGGCGUUCCCGGGCGAAGGGAGCGUCACGUGACUUCUGGGAAAGGCGGCGAAGACGAAAGCGAAACCAGCGCGGGGCCCUGGGGGCCGGGGGGGCCGCCCCGGCGCCCAUAAACUGCAGGCGGCUGAGCCUUCCCUUCCCUUCCCUUCCCUUCCCUUCCCUUCCCGCUGGAUGUUGAAGUCCAGGCUUUGCCGUGGGUUUUUAAGUGUAGUCUGUGCCCCCUUCCCUCCUCAGGUGGAGGAGGCAGGUCUUACUUAAUGAAAAAAAUAAAAUAGGUCUGUUUGGUAAACAUCGUGGUGUGAAAUACUGGUGAGUAGUAGAGCUAUAAACAUGUCUAUGAAUAAAAGCAAUGGAAGAAGGUAA